rnacentral:rRNA from 1 species
CGGCGGACGGGUGGGUAACGCGUGGGUAACCGUGCCUAUACAGGGGAGUAACAGUUGGAAACGGCUGCUAAUACCGCAUAAGCGCACGGCAUCGCAUGAUGCAGUGUGAAAAACUCCGGUGGUAUAAGAUGGACCCGCGUUGGAUUAGCUAGUUGGUGAGGUAACGGCCCACCAAGGCGACGAUCCAUAGCCGACCUGAGAGGGUGACCGGCCACAUUGGGACUGAGACACGGCCCAA